rnacentral:rRNA from 1 species
GACGAACGCUGGCGGCGUGCUUAACACAUGCAAGUCGAACGGAAAGGCCCUGCUUGCAGGGUGCUCGAGUGGCGAACGGGUGAGUAACACGUGGGUGAUCUGCCCCCUACUUUUGGAUAAGCCUGGGCAACUGGGUCUAAUACUGGAUAGGACCAUGCUGUAGGGGGUGUGGUGGAGAGAUUAGUUUCGGUAAGGGAUGAGCUCGCGGCGUAUCAGCUUGUUGGUGGGGUAAUGGCCUACCAAGGCGUCGACGGAUAGCCGGCCGGAGAGGGUGGACGGCAACAUUGGGACUGCGACACGGGCCAGAAUCCGACGGGAGGCAGCAAUGGGGAAUAUUGCACAAUGGGCGCAAGGCUGAUGCAGCGACGGCGCGUGGGGGGUGACGGCCUUCGGGUUGUAAACAACUUUCAGCCAUGACGAAGCCCUUGUGGUGACGGUAGUGGUAGAAGAAGCACCGGCUAACUACGUG